rnacentral:rRNA from 1 species
ACUACGGGAGGCAGCAGUGGGGAAUAUUGGGCAAUGGGCGCAAGCCUGACCCAGCAACGCCGCGUGAAGGAAGAAGGCUUUCGGGUUGUAAACUUCUUUUGUCAGGGACGAAGCAAGUGACGGUACCUGACGAAUAAGCCACGGCUAACUACGUGCCAGCAGCCGCGGUAAUACGUAGGUGGCAAGCGUUAUCCGGAUUUACUGGGUGUAAAGGGCGUGUAGGCGGGGAAGCAAGUCAGAUGUGAAAACCACGGGCUCAACCUGUGGCCUGCAUUUGAAACUGUUUUUCUUGAGUGCUGCAGAGGCAAUCGGAAUUCCGUGUGUAGCGGUGAAAUGCGUAGAUAUACGGAGGAACACCAGUGGCGAAGGCGGAUUGCUGGACAGUAACUGACGCUGAGGCGCGAAAGCGUGGGGAGCAAACAGGAUUAGAUACCCUUGUAGUC